rnacentral:rRNA from 1 species
CAGCAGCCGCCGCGGUAACACAGAGGGUGCGAGCGUUAAUCGGAUUUACUGGGCGUAAAGCGUGCGUAGGCGGCUAAUUGAGUCGGAUGUGAAAUCCCCGAGCUUAACUUGGGAAUUGCAUUCGAUACUGGUUAGCUAGAGUGUGGGAGAGGAUGGUAGAAUUCCAGGUGUAGCGGUGAAAUGCGUAGAGAUCUGGAGGAAUACCGAUGGCGAAGGCAGCCAUCUGGCCUAACACUGACGCUGAGGUACGAAAGCAUGGGGAGCAAACAGGAUUAGAUACCCGUGUAGUCCCUGUCUCUUAUAU